rnacentral:rRNA from 1 species
AUUGAACGCUGGCGGCAGGCCUAACACAUGCAAGUCGAGCGGAUGAAGGGAGCUUGCUCCCGGAUUCAGCGGCGGACGGGUGAGUAAUGCCUAGGAAUCUGCCUGGUAGUGGGGGAUAACGUCCGGAAACGGGCGCUAAUACCGCAUACGUCCUGAGGGAGAAAGUGGGGGAUCUUCGGACCUCACGCUAUCAGAUGAGCCUAGGUCGGAUUAGCUAGUUGGUGGGGUAAAGGCCUACCAAGGCGACGAUCCGUAACUGGUCUGAGAGGAUGAUCAGUCACACUGAAACUGAGACACGGUCCAGACUCCUACGGGAGGCAGCAGUGGGGAAUAUUGGGCAAUGGGCGAAAGCCUGAUCCAGCCAUGCCGCGUGUGUGAAGAAGGUCUUCGGAUUGUAAAGCACUUUAUGUUGGGAGGAAGGGCAGUAAGUUAAUACCUUGCUGUUUUGACGUUACCAACAGAAUAAGCACCGGCUACCUUCGU